rnacentral:pre_miRNA from 1 species
GUUGUGUGUAUGGUGUUCAGCACCAAGGACAGGUAUGUGUGUGUUCCUAUGUGUGUAUGGUGUUCAGCACCAAGGACAGGUGUGUGUGCUU